AUGGCGCCCGACAGGACCCGCAGCCUGAGCUCCCGGGGGGCGAGCGAGAGCUGCGCUUUCACGGCCCUCGUCUUUACGAAGCAGGGCGUGGAGGCUGCCAUCGAGGACAAGCGAGCCGAGCCGGUCACACACUCCGGCGGCCGAGUGGGCUCCAGAGGGGAGAGUGCGCGGGUACGGGGGCGCCCCUCUCCAGAGGCGGCGAGAGCUGUCGGGGUCCGGCGCCCCCAGCGCUCCCCUGGCCGGCGGGGGAGGCGGGGAGGCGAGGAGAGGCGAAGGGUCCCCGCACCGCCCGCACCCGGCCGCCCUCCGCCGGAGGACGCUCGGACAGCCCGGCAGCUUCGGCCUUACCGCGGCAGGAGGGGGAGGGCUGCGCGCGCCGAGCUAGGGGCUGCGUGCCCCACAAGGAGCACAAGGAGGAGAGGGGCAGCUCCAGGGAAGACGACCUCUGGCCUGCAGCAGAAGGGCGUUGAAGUGAACACCAAAAAGAAUAAGCAGAAAACACCUGGCAAUGGAGAUGGUGGCAGUGCCAGCGAGACACCCCAGCCUCCUCGGAACCCAGGGCUCCGGUGGCUCCUACUGCUGCGAAUGGAGACACGUUUAUGAGCAGAGUUGAAGUUAAAGUGAAGAUUCCUGAAGAGCUAAAACCAUGGCUUGUCGAUGACUGGGACUUAAUUACCAGACUGAAACCGCUCUUUUAUCUUCCUGCUAAGAAGAAUGCGGAUUCCAUUCUAGAGGAUUAUGCAAGUUAUAAGAAAUCUCGAGGAAAUACAGACAAUAAGGAGUACGCCUACGCCGUGAACCAGGUGGUGGCCGGGAUCAAGCAGUGCUUCCACGUGAUGCCGGGCACCCAGCUGCUCUACAAAUUCGAGAGGCCUCAGUGUGCGGAGACCCUCGCGGACCACCCCGACGCCCCCAUGGCACGUGGACGGAUCGCUUCGCCUUCUGCGCCAUGCUGGCCUACGCUCCGCUGGGUGAGAAGAGCCCGGCGUGGCUACUCAACUCUCUCCAUGAUUUCCUCAAGUACCUGGCGAAGAACUCUGCGACCGUGUUCAGUGCCAGCGAUGACGAAGUGGCUCCCCAGUGCCACCGGAAGGCCGUGUGAGCGUCCGCGUGCAUCUGUGGAACACGCUGCAAGUGUGCACGCGUCGGGGACGUGUGUGACACGUUGUCCCUAAUCCUCCUCUUGUACAGACGGUGUACUUCGAAGAUGUUAGUGUACCACAGAAUUAAUCAUUGUUUUGUUCCAUUUUAAGCAGAGAAAAUAAAAGGGGUUACCACUC